UGAAUGGUGGCCCAGAUAUGUACAUGUCCUAAUCCCUGGAACCUUAUCUUUGUCUCCUUGGGCUGCCAUAACGGAACACCACAGACAGGUGGCUUGAACCUCAGAAAUUUGUUUCUCACCGUUUUCAAAGCUGGGAAGUCCAAAGUUAAGGUGCCAGCAAGAUGCUCUGGCAGCCCGUAAGGAAACGUGUUUUUUUGAAAGCACCUGGCAGAGGCGUCAUGGAUGGAGCUGAGCUGCUAGAAAGACCCCAUUUCUCAAACCCAGCUUUCUACAAGGAAUUAUUCAAAGGGAACCCUUAUCAAGCAGCCUUCCAGCUCGGUGUCAUCCAUCUUCUAAAGAGUGCUGGGAAUGAUGGAAGCUGCCCUCCCAAGAUCCAGAGCUCAGGCUCCCAAGUGAUGUGAGACUCACAGCUCUCCAGAGCCACUUCCUGGGGAAAAUCCUUCUGCCUCUGCCCUAGCUACGGAUGCGCCCUCACCCCAAGCGGCUGUACCUCCUAUGGGGAGAGUCAGAACCAGAGACCCA